AUCUCUGGAGAGUCUCAAUCAAAAUGAGCGCCGAAGGUGUACCACAGGUUUAUCCUGUCAAUCUCUCAGGCAAAAGGACAGAGCAAC
rnacentral:ncRNA from 1 species